GACGAACGCUGGCGGCGUGCCUAAUACAUGCAAGUAGAACGCUGAAGAGAGGAGCUUGCUCUUCUUGGAUGAGUUGCGAACGGGUGAGUAACGCGUAGGUAACCUGCCUUGUAGCGGGGGAUAACUAUUGGAAACGAUAGCUAAUACCGCAUAACAAUGGAUGACACAUGUCAUUUAUUUGAAAGGGGCAAUUGCUCCACUACAAGAUGGACCUGCGUUGUAUUAGCUAGUAGGUGAGGUAAUGGCUCACCUAGGCGACGAUACAUAGCCGACCUGAGAGGGUGAUCGGCCACACUGGGACUGAGACACGGCCCAGACUCCUACGGGAGGCAGCAGUAGGGAAUCUUCGGCAAUGGGGGCAACCCGGACCGAGCAACGCCGCGUGAGUGAAGAAGGUUGUCGGAUCGUAAAGCUCUGUUGUAAGUCAAGAACGGGUGUGAGAGUGGAAAGUUCACACUGUGACGGUAGCUUACCAGAAAGGGACGGCUAACUACGUG
rnacentral:rRNA from 1 species